rnacentral:rRNA from 1 species
GAUCUUCGGACCUCGCGCUAUAGGGGCGGCCGAUGGCGGAUUAGCUAGUUGGUGGGGUAAAGGCCUACCAAGGCGACGAUCCGUAGCUGGUCUGAGAGGACGACCAGCCACACUGGGACUGAGACACGGCCCAGACUCCUACGGGAGGCAGCAGUGGGGAAUUUUGGACAAUGGGCGAAAGCCUGAUCCAGCAAUGCCGCGUGUGUGAAGAAGGCCUUCGGGUUGUAAAGCACUUUUGUCCGGAAAGAAAUCCUGAUGGCUAAUAUCCGUCGGGGAUGACGGUACCGGAAGAAUAAGCACCGGCUAACUACGUGCCAGCAGCCGCGGUAAUACGUAGGGUGCAAGCGUUAAUCGGAAUUACUGGGCGUAAAGCGUGCGCAGGCGGUGAUGUAAGACCGAUGUGAAAUCCCCGGGCUCAACCUGGGAACUGCAUUGGUGACUGCAUCGCUUGAGUAUGGCAGAGGGGGGUAGAAUUCCACGUGUAGCAGUGAAAUGCGUAGAGAUGUGGAGGAAUACCGAUGGCGAAGGCAGCCCCCUGGGUCAAUACUGACGCUCA